CCUACGGGAGGCAGCAGUGGGGAAUAUUGCACAAUGGGGGAAACCCUGAUGCAGCGACGCCGCGUGAGUGAAGAAGUAAUUCGUUAUGUAAAGCUCUAUCAGCAGGGAAGAAAAUGACGGUACCUGAGUAAGAAGCCCCGGCUAACUACGUGCCAGCAGCCGCGGUAAUACGUAGGGGGCAAGCGUUAUCCGGAUUUACUGGGUGUAAAGGGAGCGUAGACGGCAGUGCAAGUCUGGAGUGAAAGGCGGGGGCUCAACCCCCGGACUGCUCUGGAAACUGUGCGGCUGGAGUGCAGGAGAGGUAAGUGGAAUGCCUGGUGUAGCGGUGAAAUGCGUAGAUAUUAGGAGGAACACCAGUGGCGAAGGCGGCUUACUGGACUGUAACUGACGUUGAGGAGCGAAAGCGUGGGUAGCAAACAGGAUUAGAUACCCCAGUAGUC
rnacentral:rRNA from 1 species